rnacentral:rRNA from 1 species
GAUGAACGCUGGCGGCGUGCCUAAUACAUGCAAGUCGAGCGAACAGACGAGGAGCUUGCUCCUCUGACGUUAGCGGCGGACGGGUGAGUAACACGUGGAUAACCUACCUAUAAGACUGGUAUAACUUCGGGAAACCGGAGCUAAUACCGGAUAAUAUAUUGAUCCGCAUGGUUCAAUAGUGAAAGACGGUUUUGCUGUCUCUUAUAGAUGGAUCCGCGCCGCAUUAGCUAGUUGGUAAUGUAACGGCUUACCAAGGCGACGAUGCGUAGCCGACCUGAGCGCGGGAGCGGCCACACUGGAACGUGGAAACAAUCCCGACUCCUACGAGAGGCAGCAGUCGGGAAGCUACCGCAACAGGCAAAAGCCUAGCGGAACAACCACACGUGAGACAAGAGGGUCUUCGGGCCGUAAAACCCUGUUAUUAGAGAACAACAAAUGUGUAAGUAACUAUGCACGUAUUGACGGUACCUAAUCAGAAAGCCACGGCUAACUACGUG